UACGUAGGGGGCAAGCGUUGUCCGGAAUCAUUGGGCGUAAAGCGCGUGUAGGCGGUUCGAUAAGUCUGCUGUGAAAGUCCAGGGCUCAACCCUGGGAUGCCGGUGGAUACUGUCGGGCUAGAGUGCGGAAGAGGCGAGUGGAAUUCCCGGUGUAGCGGUGAAAUGCGCAGAUAUCGGGAGGAACACCAAUUGCGAAGGCAGCUCGCUGGGACGUCACUGACGCUGAGACGCGAAAGCGUGGGGAGCGAACAGG
rnacentral:rRNA from 1 species